AGAGUUUGAUCCUGGCUCAGGAUGAACGCUGGCGGCAUGCCUAAUACAUGCAAGUCGAACGAGAGGAAGGAAAGCUUGCUUUUCUGAAUCUAGUGGCGAACGGGUGAGUAACACGUAGGUAACCUGCCCAUGUGCCCGGGAUAACUUCUGGAAACGGAUGCUAAAACCGGAUAGGUAGCAGACAAGCAUUUGACUGCUAUUAAAGUGGCUAAGGCCAUGAACAUGGAUGGACCUGCGGUGCAUUAGCUAGUUGGUGAGGUAACGGCCCACCAAGGCGACGAUGCAUAGCCGGCCUGAGAGGGCGGACGGCCACAUUGGGACUGAGACACGGCCCAAACUCCUACGGGAGGCAGCAGUAGGGAAUUUUCGUCAAUGGGGGGAACCCUGAACGAGCAAUGCCGCGUGAGUGAGGAAGGUCUUCGGAUCGUAAAGCUCUGUUGUAAGAGAAAAACGACAUUCAUAGGGAAUGAUGAGUGAGUGAUGGUAUCUUACCAGAAAGUCACGGCUAACUACGUGCCAGCAGCCGCGGUAAUACGUAGGUGGCGAGCGUUAUCCGGAAUGAUUGGGCGUAAAGGGUGCGUAGGUGGCAGAACAAGUCUGGAGUAAAAGGUAUGGGCUCAACCCGUACUGGCUCUGGAAACUGAUCAGCUAGAGAACAGAAGAGGACGGCGGAACUCCAUGUGUAGCGGUAAAAUGCGUAGAUAUAUGGAAGAACACCGGUGGCGAAGGCGGCCGUCUGGUCUGGAUUCUGACACUGAAGCACGAAAGCGUGGGGAGCAAAUAGGAUUAGAUACCCUAGUAGUCCACGCCGUAAACGAUGAGAACUAGGUGUUGGGGGAAUAACUCAGUGCCGCAGUUAACGCAGUAAGUUCUCCGCCUGGGGAGUAUGCACGCAAGUGUGAAACUCAAAGGAAUUGACGGGGGCCCGCACAAGCGGUGGAGUAUGUGGUUUAA
rnacentral:rRNA from 1 species